rnacentral:rRNA from 1 species
GGGUUGUGAGGUUAAGCGACUAAGCGUACACGGUGGAUGCCCUGGCAGUCAGAGGCGAUGAAGGACGUGCUAAUCUGCGAUAAGCGCCGGUAAGGUGAUAUGAACCGUUAUAACCGGCGAUUUCCGAAUGGGGAAACCCAGUGUGAUUCGUCACACUAUCAUUAACUGAAUCCAUAGGUUAAUGAGGCGAACCGGGGGAACUGAAACAUCUAAGUACCCCGAGGAAAAGAAAUCAACCGAGAUUCCCCCAGUAGCGGCGAGCGAACGGGGAGGAGCCCAGAGCCUGAAUCAGCAUGUGUGUUAGUGGAAGCGUCUGGAAAGGCGCGCGAUACAGGGUGACAGCCCCGUACACAAAAGCGCAUGUGCUGUGAGCUCGAUGAGUAGGGCGGGACACGUGGUAUCCUGUCUGAAUAUGGGGGGACCAUCCUCCAAGGCUAAAUACUCCUGACUGACCGAUAGUGAACCAGUACCGUGAGGGAAAGGCGAAAAGAACCCCGGCGAGGGGAGUGAAAAAGAACCUGAAACCGUGUACGUACAAGCAGUGGGAGCCCCACCACUAAGCCAGUGGUGAACUCCACAUACGCAUCCUUUGCUGAGGAUACGGUUAACGGAGCGAAAGCGACGUUCAACCGCAAAAGAAGCAGAGGGGGCUUAGUGGUGGGGUGACUGCGUACCUUUUGUAUAAUGGGUCAGCGACUUAUAUUCUGUAGCAAGGUUAACCGUAUAGGGGAGCCGCAGGGAAACCGAGUCUUAAC